GAAAAAGAACCUGAAACCGUGUACGUACAAGCAGUGGGAGCACAGAGCAAUCUGUGUGACUGCGUACCUUUUGUAUAAUGGGUCAGCGACUUAUAUUCUGUAGCAAGGUUAACCGAAUAGGGGAGCCGAAGGGAAACCGAGUCUUAACUGGGCGUUAAGUUGCAGGGUAUAGACCCGAAACCCGGUGAUCUAGCCAUGGGCAGGUUGAAGGUUGGGUAACACUAACUGGAGGACCGAACCGACUAAUGUUGAAAAAUUAGCGGAUGACUUGUGGCUGGGGGUGAAAGGCCAAUCAAACCGGGAGAUAGCUGGUUCUCCCCGAAAGCUAUUUAGGUAGCGCCUCGUGAAUUCAUCUCCGGGGGUAGAGCACUGUUUCGGCAAGGGGGUCAUCCCGACUUACCAACCCGAUGCAAACUGCGAAUACCGGAGAAUGUUAUCACGGGAGACACACGGCGGGUGCUAACGUCCGUCGUGAAGAGGGAAACAACCCAGACCGCCAGCUAAGGUCCCAAAGUCAUGGUUAAGUGGGAAACGAUGUGGGAAGGCCCAGACAGCCAGGAUGUUGGCUUAGAAGCAGCCAUCAUUUAAAGAAAGCGUAAUAGCUCACUGGUCGAGUCGGCCUGCGCGGAAGAUGUAACGGGGCUAAACCAUGCACCGAAGCUGCGGCAGCGACGCUGAUGCGUUGUUGGGUA
rnacentral:rRNA from 1 species